rnacentral:rRNA from 1 species
CAAUAGCGUAUAUUAAAAUUGUUGCGGUUAAACGCUCGUAGUUGGUAUCUGCUAAGGGGUUCCGGUCCUUCCCAGUGAAGAAUACGCGGAACUCUUCUUGGCAUUUGUUCAGGGAAGGAGUUUGCACUUUGUUGUGUGUCUUCAGAUCUGGAUUUUUACUUUGAGGAAAUGAGAGUGUUUCAAGCAGGCUUUUGCCGUGAAUAUGAUAGCAUGGAAUAAUAGCAUAGGACCCCUUUCCAAAGCUGUUGGUUUUUGGAACGAGGUAAUCAGAAUAAGGAUAGUUGGGGUAGUUCGUAUUUAACUGUCAGAGGUGAAAUUCUUGGAUUUUUAAAGACGAACUAUUGCGAAUGGCAUCUGCCCAGGAUGUUUUUGUUGAUCAAGAACGAAAGUUAGGGGAUCGAAGAUGAUUAG